AUUGAACGCUGGCGGCAGGCCUAACACAUGCAAGUCGAGCGGAUGAAGGGAGCUUGCUCCUGGAUUCAGCUGCGGACGGGUGAGUAAUGCCUAGGAAUCUGCCUGGUAGUGGGGGAUAACGUCCGGAAACGGGCGCUAAUACCGCAUACGUCCUGAGGGAGAAAGUGGGGGAUCUUCGGACCUCACGCUAUCAGAUGAGCCUAGGUCGGAUUAGCUAGUUGGUGGGGUAAAGGCCUACCAAGGCGACGAUCCGUAACUGGUCUGAGAGGAUGAUCAGUCACACUGGAACUGAGACACGGUCCAGACUCCUACGGGAGGCAGCAGUGGGGAAUAUUGGACAAUGGGCGAAAGCCUGAUCCAGCCAUGCCGCGUGUGUGAAGAAGGUCUUCGGAUUGUAAAGCACUUUAAGUUGGGAGGAAGGUCAGUAAGUUAAUACCUUGCUGUUUUGACGUUACCAACAGAAUAAGCACCGGCUAACUUCGUG
rnacentral:rRNA from 1 species